rnacentral:rRNA from 1 species
ACUUUCUAUGGGGGUACAUUACAACAAAUCUUCUUUUUCUGCAGCAUUGCUUCUAUGAUCUUAGGAGCACUGGCCGCCAUGGCCCAAACGAAAGUCAAAAGACCUCUAGCUCAUAGUUCGAUUGGACAUGUAGGUUAUAUUCGUACUGGUUUCUCAUGUGGAACCAUAGAAGGAAUUCAAUCACUACUAAUUGGUAUAUUUAUUUAUGCAUCAAUGAUAGAUGCAUUCGCCAUAGUUCCAGCAUUACGGCAAACCCGUGUCAAAUAUAUAGCGGAUUUGGGUGCUCUAGCCAAAACGAAUCCUAAUAUGAAAUUGUAUCAAAUAACUUUUAUCAUAAAACUUUAUCACAUAACUUUUAUCAUAUAA